GUGAAGGAGGGAGAGGAAGAGGAGGAUGAGGACGAGGAAGGACAGUUGUGUCAGAUGAUAUCAGGGCCAUAUUGGUUGACCAUGUGCUGAGUAUGAGAGAGGCUGGACAGAGAGUUCAUUCUGAGCCGUUACAUGGUUGCAUCUAUCCUCCGUACAUUCAGAAAUGACAACCGAACUGAGAGACGGCCAGGCUAUGGUGGAAGACCCCGGCUGUUCACACCAGAACAGGAGACCGGCUAGUGUGAACAUGGUGGAGGCAAACAAUACCAUUAGACAACGAGAAGUCCAGAACCACAUAAUUGCAGACAACACAAUAUUCAAUAACAUUCACCAGGUGGGCUUGUCUCAUUGGACCGUGUAUUACAGUUACAAGCGAAUCCGCAUGAAACAGGUCCACAGGGCGCCAUUGAAGCAAAAAUCAGAGAUAUGAAUAUGUGCUAGUAGGUACUAUACGAGAAUCUUGGAGCUGGAUGCAUUUCGGCACGUUUAUAUUUACAUGGAUGAGGCUGGCUUCAACCUAGCCAAAAGAAGGGGAUGGGGACAGAACAUUAUUGUGCCAUUGUGAAUGUCCCUGGACGGUAUAGUUCACCCUUAUUCGUAAACAUACAGUACAUUAAACUCCCCGGCCACACUCAUAACAGUCAUAUGCACAGUCAUAUCCCUUAAUGGUGUAGUUCACCCUUAUUCGUAAACAUACAGUACAUUAAACUCCCCGGCCACACUCAUAACAGUCAUAUGCACAGUCAUAUCCCUUAACGGUGUGGAGGGAAUAUCACCAUGUGUGCAGGAGUUAGCCAGCAAGGUGUCCUCCAUCACCAUGCCAACCUUGGUCCCUACAACACCGGCCUUCUCGUCACAUCCCUAGACUACACUACAGCAGAGGGGCGGACCAGAGCAGACCACGUAUGUUGUCGUCUGGGACACCAUUAGUUUCAACCGGGCUGCUCUGGUCCCCAACUGGUUCAUCGACCACUCACAAUGUAUUGUUCUAUACCUCCCACCAUAUUCCCCAUUCCUAAAACCCAGUUGAAGAGUUUUUUUCAGCAUGGCGAUGGAAGGUGUAUGACCGCCAUCCCCUCGCACGC